UACGGAGGGGACUAGCGUUGUUCGGAAUUACUGGGCGUAAAGCGCUCGUAGGCGGAUUUGUAAGUCAGGGGUGAAAUCCCGGGGCUCAACCCCGGAACUGCCUUUGAUACUGCGAAUCUCGAGUCCGGAAGAGGUGAGUGGAAUUCCUAGUGUAGAGGUGAAAUUCGUAGAUAUUAGGAAGAACACCAGUGGCGAAGGCGGCUCACUGGUCCGGUACUGACGCUGAGGUGCGAAAGCGUGGGGAGCAAACAGG
rnacentral:rRNA from 1 species